AUGAACAAAAACUUUGAGUUACUUUACAUAGAUUGUUGGUCUAUAACAUUUUGUUUUAUGUCCGUGAAAGGAAUGCAGAUUUUAGUAGUCAAUUUCAACAAUUACGCGAGGAGUCCGAAGCCUAUAAUACUCGUAGGUACUAAACAAUAUGCAGCUGCGACAAAAGUUGAAUUGCAACUAGGACACAAGUUGACUACUUUAGAGGUCAAUACUAUUUGUUAUUAUACACAGAAUUGA